UAGGGAAUAUUGGACAAUGGGUGAGAGCCUGAUCCAGCCAUGCCGCGUGCAGGAAGAAGGCGUUAUGCGUUGUAAACUGCUUUUGCCAGGGGAUAAAAAGACCGUGCGCGGUUAAUUGAAGGUACCUGGUGAAUAAGCCACGGCUAACUACGUGCCAGCAGCCGCGGUAAUACGUAGGGACCAAGCGUUGUUCGGAUUUACUGGGCGUAAAGGGCGCGUAGGCGGCGUGGUAAGUCAUCUGUGAAAUCUCCGAGCUUAACUCGGAACGGUCAGAUGAUACUGCUGUGCUAGAGUACAGAAAGGGCAAUCGGAAUUCUUGGUGUAGCGGUGAAAUGCGUAGAUAUCAAGAGGAACACCUGAGGCGAAGGCGGGUUGCUAGGCUGAUACUGACGCUGAGGCGCUAAAGCUAGGGUAGCGAACGGGAUUAGAUACCCAAGUAGUCCCUGAGCGGGCUGGCAAGGCGCAU
rnacentral:rRNA from 1 species